GACGAACGCUGGCGGCGUGCCUAAUACAUGCAAGUUGAGCGAUGAAGAUUGGUGCUUGCACCAAUUUGAAGAGCAACGAACGGGUGAGUAACGCGUGGGGAAUCUGCCUUUGAGCGGGGGACAACAUUUGGAAACGAAUGCUAAUACCGCAUAACAACUUUAAACAUAAGUUUUAAGUUUGAAAGAUGCAAUUGCAUCACUCAAAGAUGAUCCCGCGUUGUAUUAGCUAGUUGGUGAGGUAAAGGCUCACCAAGGCGAUGAUACAUAGCCGACCUGAGAGGGUGAUCGGCCACAUUGGGACUGAGACACGGCCCAAACUCCUACGGGAGGCAGCAGUAGGGAAUCUUCGGCAAUGGACGAAAGUCUGACCGAGCAACGCCGCGUGAGUGAAGAAGGGUGUCGGAUCGUAAAACUCUGUUGGUAGAGAAGAACGUUGGUGAGAGUGGAAAGCUCAUCAAGUGACGGUAACUACCCAGAAAGGGACGGCUAACUACGUG
rnacentral:rRNA from 1 species